rnacentral:rRNA from 1 species
UUUGAAAUCUGGUACCUUUGGUGCCCGAGUUGUAAAUUGGAGAGUACCACUUUGGGACUGUACUUUGCCUAUGUUCCUUGGAACAGGACGUCAUGGAGGGUGAGAAUCCCGUGUGGCGAGGGUGUCAGUUCUUUGUAAAGGGUGCUCGAAGAGUCGAGUUGUUUGGGAAUGCAGCUCUAAGUGGGUGGUAAAUUCCAUCUAAAGCUAAAUACAGGCGAGAGACCGAUAGCGAACAAGUACAGUGAUGGAAAGAUGAAAAGAACUUUGAAAAGAGAGUGAAAAAGUACGUGAAAUUGUUGAAAGGGAAGGGCAUUUGAUCAGACAUGGUGUUUUGCGCCCCUUGCCUCUCGUGGGCUUGGGACUCUCGCAGCUCACUGGGCCAGCAUCGGUUUUGGCGGCCGGAAAAAACCUAGGGAAUGUGGCUCUGCGCCUCGGUGUAGAGUGUUAUAGCCCUGGGGAAUACGGCCAGCCGGGACCGAGGACUGCGAUACUUGUUAUCUAGGAUGCUGGCAUAAUGGUUAUAUGCCGCCCGUCUUGAAACAC